GGGCUGGCCCCAGUGCGCCUGCGCGCCGCUCCGACUCCGCCAGGCCCACGAGGCACCUUCGCGCACCUCCGCCUCACCCCUGCCCGGCGAGCCGCCAAGCCGGGCAGCGCCGGCCGCCGGGCGCGCUCCUGCCGCCCACGUGUGCCUGCCUCUCUCCCCGAGGGAGCGAAAAAUUCCACCCCCCGGGGAAACUUGAGUCAGUUCCCGCCUCUCGUCCCCGGCCGGGAGGGAUCACGGUUAACGCCCACCCCCAGCGCCUUUUUACUGCCCCCUCCCACCACUCCGCGGACGAACUGCGGCUGUGGGUUGGUUUUGUGGCCCCAGGUGAAAACGGCUUGCUGACCCCGUGGUCCCCCUGAAUCUUGUUGGCAAGGUUGGGAAAGUCAAACGGUGAGCACCAGAACCGACCCAGCUGGAGAAACGGUGCUCCCUGCUUGUAGGAUCUGGUUACGUAAGAGCCUUCUGAUGAAUGCUGUAUUCAGAAGAGACCCGAGGUACAGAUCUGAGAUUCAACAGUCUUGCACAAUUCACAUCGUGCUGGAUUCUUAUUCUGAGAGACGACAAUAGCCAUCCCCAGAAAAAUCCAAAAGGUCCUUCUCUCCAGGCUCAAGCACGUCAUUUUUCCUGCUGUGUUGUCUGAGCUUGGGUGCUACAUAGCGCUCCCUGGGGCUUGUUGCAGGCCAGAGAUAUGGGAGGAGUCCUUUGUCACCUGUCUGUGCCCCACUCUGCAAGCCAUCAACCCCAUGCUCCCUGAGAAGGGACCAGAAAAGUGACAUAUCAAAGUGACAUAUCAUUAGACAAAAAAAGAUUUUUUUAAUUAAAUAUUUCUUCUAAAAAAGUAACAUAUUAUCACUUCUGCCAUAAUUUAUGGUCACAUAGACCAACCCUGGUCCAAGGUGGGAGGGGACCAUACAUGGGUCUGAAUUCUCAGACAAAGGAUCAUGAGGGAUCAUCCCAGAGGUUGGCUCAAAGGCCAUUUUUGCUCAAAAACAUGUUUUGGUUAUUAAUAUACAUUCCAAAUAUACACUGAAAUAGAUAUUUCAAAAUACCCCAUCUUCCUGAUUAUACUUUUCAAGAAAUAAUAAUGGUAUUUUUUUAGUACUUCCUGUGUGCCAAGCACCGUGUUAAGAUUGUCCAUGGACCUCCCUACAAUCUUCACAACUUCAAUGGAGGCACUUCCGGGAGCCUCAUUUCGCCCAUUUCAGAGAUGAACUUGAAGUACAGAGAGGUCAAGUAACUUGCCCAAGGGCACACACCUAGCAAGAACAUCAGAAUAGGAACUCAGAGCUAUUGAUGAAGGCGCAUGUGUCUCUGCUAAGCUGUGUUGCUUCCUGCCGUCAUGGAUGUGUGGGGGCAAAUCUCUAAUCUAACUAAACUAAGAGCCGUCAUUGCAAGUGCCUAGUUGAAGAUGACCCCUACAAGCACAGAGUAAGGAAACUAAGAUUCACAUUUGCUCUCAUCACGAUUAAGACCGUAACAGUGACUUGGGUCUUCUCUCUUCCUACCGUCUUCCCUCUCUCUACUCUGGCUACACCGGCCUCCACACUGUUCUUAGAACACUCUUGGCAUGCACCUGCCUUAGGUCUUUUGUGCUUGAUAGUCUUCUUCUCAUCCCCCCAGAUCAGCAUGGCUCCUUCCAUCACCUCCGUUUCCCAAAUGCCACCUUGCCAAUGAGGCCCACUGUUACCAUGCUAACUAAAAUGACCACCCCACCAUCCUCAGUCCCACCUUCCUUCCCCUCUGGUCCUUUCCCGUAGAAACCAUCGCCGUCCACAUCCUACAGAACUCAUUUAUUUAGGGUGCUUAUAUUUUUCUCCCUAUCCCAGGAUGCCAUUUCCACAAAGGCAAGGAUGUGGGUCUGUUUUGUUCACUGAGGAGCCCCAGCACCUAGGACAGUCUUUGGUACAUAUAUAUACUCAGCAUUAAAUAUGUGUUUCUAGCGAGUUGUUUCCUUCCAAUGAACAUUUUACACGUGUUGCCACAUGUGUUCGUUUUUCAACCAGAAGAGAUGUAUCAGACAUUUCUAGAAACAACAAAUGCUCUGGACACAGAAGAUGCUUUUAACUUAGAAGAGAGAGAAACCAGGUCAGGAUUGAAGUAUUUUCACUACCCAACUAGUGGCCCAUCCCUCUGUCGAGUGACCCUAGGAAACCUGAAUAUUUACUUUUGACAUUAGAAAAAGUCAGUUAAGCAAAUGACAUUUCAUAACAAAUGAAAGGAAAGAAUUUCCUUCCUCUAUUUAUUCUGGAUAAGCUAUUAAUUUUGAGUAUGUUUUGUUCCCCCCAGACAUAGAGGUAUUGUUUGACAGAAGGUCAGCAUUCAGUCUCACUUUGCUCAGGUCUACCUAGAACUAUUCUUUCUAUUCCUGGUCACUUUGGAAUGCCAAGUUACUAGUUGACAAUGCAUUCGGUGAAGGUCUUGGUGUUGCUAAGUUCUUUCCUUCGGACCAACUGCCCAUAUCGGCUACCGAAGUAGAGAUACGUGCUAAGUGCAGGCCAUCAUACCUACAUUAUCUCGAAUAUCUUCAGCAACCCUAUGGGAUGAACACUGUGGUUACAAAGCCCAGUAAAGUUCAGCAACCGGUUAAAAUUACACAAUCAAGGCAGAGACUCACACCAAGAUUAUCUGUCUGAUUCUGAAAUCUUGGCCUGUUUCAAGGUGCCACUCUCUGGCCCAAAGCUCUAACCUUACCUGGUUAUCUUUACAUGAGGUGCAAUAGCCUAAUACUCCAUACCACAUAUGUACGCUCCAAAAAUGUCAUUGUUUAUCUGAAAUUCAGACUUCACUGGAUGUCUUGUGUUUUUAUUUGCUCAACCUGGCCAAUAAAAACACAUACUCUGUGAGGAUUCUGGAGUGUGCCCAGGCCUGUUAAUUUUCAUAAAGUUUUAUUUGUUCAUUAAAAAAAUACUGAGUACCUACCUUGGGCCAAGGACUUUUCUAUGCUUUGGAAACACAGCAGGAAACAAAACAAAUAUUCUACAUUUGUGGAUCUCCCCGGGUAACUCUAAAAACUCCUACCAGUGGGGCACCCAGGUGGCUCAGUCAGGUAAGCAUCUGACUCUUGAUUUCGACUCAGGUCAUGAUCUCAGGAUUGAGCCUGGAUCUUGGCUCCAUGCUCAGUGGGAAGUCUGCUUGGGUUCUCCCUCUGUGCACAUGCAAGCUCUCUCAAGCUUCUUCUAUAAAAUAAAUAAAUGAACCUUUUUUUUAACCUCAUCCCAGUUAUGAAACUACGAGGUCAAGCAACCUAGUUUUACAGAUCGGGGGAACAGAAGCCAUCAAGGGUCCACCAUGGCUCAAGAUCACAGACAGAGGAAGGACUAGGGAUCCAGUCUCCUAACUCCCAGUUGAGGUUUUUUUUAAUAUCUCUCUGCUGACCAUAUGUCCUCAAUUUCCCAGAACACUCCCUUGUUAGUAUUCUAUUGUUCCUUAAAUUACAAGCUUUGAUUUGCAAAAUAUAGUCCAGAAGCUCUGUCAUUCUUUUUUUUUUUUUUAAAGAUUUUAUUUAUUUAUUUGAGACAGAGAGAAUGAGAGAGAGAGAGCACAUGAGAGGGGGGAGGGUCAGAGGGAGAAGCAGGCUCCCCGCCGAGCAGGGAGCCCGAUGCGGGACUCGAUCCAGGGACUCCAGGAUCAUGACCUGAGCCGAAGGCAGUUGCUCAACCAACUGAGCCACCCAGGCGCCCAGAAGCUCUGUCAUUCUUAAAAUCAUACUCUUACUAUGACUGGGGGCUCUCCCUAUAACCGUAACACCACGAUUACAGCUAUCAACAUGCACACACAGUAACAGAGAAUCCCGACCCCGGAUAAAAGGGAAAGUCAUUCCUGGCACCUGACUCUUUGCAGAGUAUGUGUGUACAGCAUUUAUCAUGUACAUCAACCCACGAUCCUCCCAACAAUCCUGUGAACGGGGCAGGUCAGAUGUCACCAUAACUGCCCUUUACAAUCGAGGUAGUGGAGAUCAGCGCACAAAUCCAAGUUCAAACAACUUGUACGUGGCAGAAACAGGGCUCAAGUCCAGGUUUUGUCCGUCUGAAUGAAUAAAAUAAUCGGAGGGCGAAUGAAGAUCUCAGCUGGCUUCUUUUCUUCCUCCUUCAGCAGGACUGGCCAGCCAGGUGCAGGAACCCAGGGGUUACCCAUGAGCACUAGCCUGCCUGCUUGCGCCGAAGCUGCCCCCUCCCCAGCCGCUGUGGGCUCCCCUUCUCUCAGGCUCCAAAUUCCCACCCACCGCAUGGUGUGAGGACAGACUGAUCGCAGAAAAACCUCAACCCCCAUACACGCGCAUAAGCCAGGCACCAGGCCCCCGUGUGGCCCCCACACUUAUAGAGAUUCACGGAGCAGAUGAAUAGUCAGUACUGUUAAGAAAACAACAGCCCCUCACUUAUGUUAAGGGCCCACGUAAGCAAACCAAGAUUUGAUAUUUAACCUAACUGCAGUUUCAAGCUCUCCAGGGAGGUAAUCUUUAAUCAGUCAACAUGGCAUUUUUUGGUCAGCACUAGAAAUUUACUGAUCGACCCUUUCUGUUCCCCUUAGGAGGGUGACCUUGCCUAUAACAAUGCAUUCUUCACCAAAAAUUUCCUUUUUCCCCCCACUCCCUCUCUGCUUUUAAAAACUUUUCCUUGUCUACAGCUCCAGGGAGCUCUUUUCUGUUUGCGAGUUGGGAUGCUGCCCGACUCAUGGAAAGUUCAAUAAAGCCAAUGAGAUCCUCAAAUGUACCCGGCUGACUUUUUGUUAUUCAACACAACCAGGUUCCUAGGGAAUUGGUGGCCACGCUGAUCAGUUUCCUUUCAAGAUGAAUAUGAAAUCAGGCUGGGCCACAGAAGAAGAAUCCCAAAGAAGAGGGCCUGGGGAAGUGAGGCCUGGGUUUGAUGAUAAUGAUGAUGAUUAACUGAGGAGCAAAUGCAGGAUCGACUUCAGGGCUACACAGAGCCCAGGACUUGUUCAGAUUCUGCUAUGCGUCCUCAUUGGUAAAAUGGCAGCUCUAUGAUUAUGUGUAAAAUAAUUCUAUGAUUACAACAGCCCUGAAGAAGGGCCCUCCUAUCUUAAUAUAUCCAAUUAAUGUCCAAUUAAUAAAUAAAUCCAAUA